rnacentral:pre_miRNA from 1 species
CAGAUACUUCCUCCGUUCCAAAAUUCUUGUCUUAGAUUUAUCUAAAUACGGAUGUAUAUAGUUACAUUUUAGUGUUAGAUACAUCCGUAUCUAGACAAAUUUAAGACAAAAAUUUUGGGACGGAGGGAGUACUUU